GCAUUUCCUCCUUUUCUCCUUCUUCCUCUCCCUGGCCGCACACGCCUCUCUCUCUCUCCUCUCCUCUUACCUUCUAUUCUCUUUCCCUUCCACUUCUCUCUGCCAUCGUCGGAGACCACCAUUUUUGGCCACCAAUUCACGACACCACCCUUGGAUCAGCUCCUCUGCUCGAAGACGGUAAAUGGAAUCGGAGUUUUGCAAUUCAGGUUGGGUUUGUGAUAGGGAAGCUCAGCUACAUCUACCCAAAACUCAAUCACUUUCUCACCCAUCCUUGCUGAGAACAGAGAAGUCAGACAUGGCCACGGGAUAGAAGCCAUUGAUAUUCUCAUCUCCAUUCUAGUAUCAAAAAUCAAAGGUUUGGGCUUUGGAGUCUAGAUUGGGAUCAGUUCACCGCUACGGUAUGGAAUUGAGGAAAGAUAGAGGAGUGGAGCUGGAUUUUGAUCGAAAAACUCUGGCAAGUGAAAGGUUGGAGUUGUGCAGUACGUUAGGUGAAGGAGGGAGAUUUUGGGUGAAGGCUCCUUGACUGGGUAUUGAUCAAAUUCAGUGAGAAAAUUGGCAACUCAAGUGGAGAAGCUAUCCCAUCUGGUCUGCCAGGAGCUUGAUCUUCGCGUAAACCAUACUCUUAUCUGGGACCAGUUUCUAUGGGACUUGAACAACUUUGAAAGUGAUCCGGAGGAGUUUGCUAAAACCUUGUGUGCAUAUUUAGGUGUUCAUGACCCUGAAGAUGGUCCUGCUAUUGCUUUUGCAAUUAGAGAACAGCUGUAUGAGUGAUUUUUCUUACAACUAUCUUAGUGGUACAAUACUAAAGGAAUGGGCUUCAAGCUUGCAGUGAUUUUGCUUAAAACUAUCUUGGGAGAUCGAGCAAAUUGUAUUCUUUUUUAUUAUCAUGUAAAGCUCAUGAAACUUGAAAGCUUGUUAAGCUAAUGAAAUAGAUAUAGGCACUUGGGCAAGUUUAAUUCCUAUGUAAAUGUUAGGAUGAAUACUGCUGAUGGAAUGAAAUGGUUUUUGGAAUCAA